UACGUAGGGGGCUAGCGUUGUCCGGAAUCAUUGGGCGUAAAGCGCGCGUAGGCGGCCCUGUUAGUCCGCUGUAAAAGUCAAAGGCUCAACCUUUGAAUGCCGGUGGAUACUGCAGGGCUAGAGUCCGGAAGAGGCGAGUGGAAUUCCUGGUGUAGCGGUGAAAUGCGCAGAUAUCAGGAGGAACAGCCGGUGGCGAAGGCGGGACUCGUGGGCCGAUACUGACGCUGAGGAGCGAAAGCGUGGGGAGAAACAGG
rnacentral:rRNA from 1 species